CCUACGGGAGGCAGCAGUGAGGAAUAUUGGUCAAUGGACGAGAGUCUGAACCAGCCAAGUAGCGUGAAGGAUGACUGCCCUAUGGGUUGUAAACUUCUUUUAUAUGGGAAUAAAACGUUCCACGUGUGGGAUUUUGUAUGUACCAUAUGAAUAAGGAUCGGCUAACUCCGUGCCAGCAGCCGCGGUAAUACGGAGGAUCCGAGCGUUAUCCGGAUUUAUUGGGUUUAAAGGGAGCGUAGGUGGAUUGUUAAGUCAGUUGUGAAAGUUUGCGGCUCAACCGUAAAAUUGCAGUUGAAACUGGCAGUCUUGAGUACAGUAGAGGUAAGCGGAAGUCGUGGUGUAGCGGUGAAAUGCUUAGAUAUCACGAAGAACUCCGAUUGCGAAGGCAGUUCACUGGACUGCAACUGACACUGAGGCUCGAAAGUGUGGGUAUCAAACAGGAUUAGAUACCCGUGUAGUC
rnacentral:rRNA from 1 species